GCAGUCGACGGGAUCUCUGGUAAGCUUGCUUAUUGGUAGUGAGAGUGGCGCACGGGUGCGUAACGCGUGAGCAACCUACCCUUGUCAGGGGGAUAGCCCGGCGAAAGUCGGAUUAAUACCGCAUGACAUCAUUGAGAGGCACCUUUCGAUGAUCAAAGAUUUAUCGGACAAGGAUGGGCUCGCGUGACAUUAGCUAGUUGGUAAGGUAACGGCUUACCAAGGCUACGAUGUCUAGGGGCUCUGAGAGGAGAAUCCCCCACACUGGUACUGAGACACGGACCAGACUCCUACGGGAGGCAGCAGUAAGGAAUAUUGGUCAAUGGACGGAAGUCUGAACCAGCCAUGCCGCGUGCAGGAAGACUGCCCUAUGGGUUGUAAACUGCUUUUAUACGGGAACAAACGUCGGUACGUGUACCGGUCUGAGUGUACCGUAAGAAUAAGGAUCGGCUAACUCCGUGCCAGCAGCCGCGGUAAUACGGAGGAUCCGAGCGUUAUCCGGAAUUAUUGGGUUUAAAGGGUGCGUAGGCGGCCAGAUAAGUCAGGGGUGAAAGUCGGCAGCUCAACUGUCGCAGUGCCUUUGAUACUGUUUGGCUUGAAUUCGGUUGAAGAUGGCGGAAUGAGACAAGUAGCGGUGAAAUGCAUAGGUAUGUCUCAGAACACCGAUUGCGAAGGCGCUAUCUAAGCCGUUAUUGACGCUGAUGCACGAAAGCGUGGGGAGCAAACAGAUAGAUACCUGGUAGU
rnacentral:rRNA from 1 species